UGAAAAUGUAUUCCAAAGUGAACAUGUAAAGAAAUGGAAAUCUAGAGACCAAACUCCUCAGCAUAAAGUCGUGUGUGCAUGUGAAUUCAUGCACGAGUGGCAUUUCACAGUUUUUUACUCAUUGUUUGAGCGAUAUACUCCUGCUAGAAUCAACAGACCCAUGUAGGCUUGGAAGUCUACCAGGUCUAAUUCUCUCCAGGUGUCCCCAAACACACACCUCCCCUCCAGGUUUGUCAUCUCCAGUAUAAUUCCCUCAGUGGACUCAGGUAAAAAGAGUUGGACUUGACGUCAUCCACAUGAGAUGUUGCAUAAUGUGUUGGCCCUGGGAGGUGACUGGUCAGUCUGGUCAGUUUCCUCAAAGUCUGGAUCAAAAUCGGUGUUGUCUUCCACUUCCGAGACAUCCUCCUCUAUCUCUGGUUCAACUUCAGUUCUCUCUUCAUCUUGAGACUCAAAAAUGAGU